AGCAGCCGCGGUAAUUCCAGCUCCAAUAGCGUAUAUUAAAGUUGUUGCAGUCAAAAAGCUCGUAGUUGAAUUUCGGGAUCAAUGCGUCGGUCGUGCUUUCGGGUACGUACUGGUGUCAUUGGUUUCUCCUUUCUGACGAGCCGUGAUGUCAUUAAUUUGGUGUUACGGGUAGUUAGGACUGUUACUUUGAAAAAAAUUAGAGUGUUUAAAGCAGGCAUUAGCUUGAAUACAUUAGCAUGGAAUAAUGAAAUAGGACGUUCGAUCCUAUUUUGUUGGUUUCUAGGAUCAACGUAAUGAUUAAUAGGGAUAGUUGGGGGCAUUAGUAUUCAAUUGUCAGAGGUGAAAUUCUUGGAUUUAUUGAAGACUAACUACUGCGAAAGCAUUUGCCAAGGAUGUUUUCAUUAAUCAAGAACGAAAGUUAGGGGAUCGAAGACGAUCAGAUACCGUCGUAGUCUUAACCAUAAACUAUGCCGACUAGGGAUCGGAUGAUGUUAAUUUUUUAAUGACUCAUUCGGCGUCU
rnacentral:rRNA from 1 species